rnacentral:rRNA from 1 species
GAUCAUCCGUGGUUCUCCGCGGUGCACUCUGCCUGCUCAGCCAGCAUCAGUUCGCUCCGGGGGAUAAAGGCUCUGGGAAUGUGGCUCCUUCGGGAGUGUUAUAGCCCACUGCGUAAUACCCUGGGGUGGACUGAGGUUCGCGCUCUGCAAGGAUGCUGGCGUAAUGGUCAUCAACGACCCGUCUUGAAACACGGACCAAGGAGUCGUCUUCGUAUGCGAGUGUUCGGGUGUCAAACCCCUACGCGUAAUGAAAGUGAACGUAGGAGAGAGCUUCGGCGCAUCUCCGACCGAUCCUGAUGUUCUCGGAUGGAUUUGAGUAAGAGCAUACGGGGCCGGACCCGAAAGAAGGUGAACUAUGCCUGUAUAGGGUGAAGCCAGAGGAAACUCUGGUGGAGGCUCGCAGCGGUUCUGACGUGCAAAUCGAUCGUCAAAUAUGGGCAUGGGGGCGAAAGACUAAUCGAACCUUCUAGUAGCUGGUUUCCGCCGAAGUUUCCCUCAGGAUAGCAGUAUUGAACUCAGUUUUAUGAGGUAAAGCGAAUGAUUAGGGACCCGGGGGCGCUAUAUUGCCUUCAUCCAUUCUCAAACUUUAAAUAUGUAAGAAGCUCUUGUUGCUUAAUUGAA